rnacentral:misc_RNA from 1 species
AUUUUCUUGGAGGCCAUCAUUGGAGGAACAGACAACGGAGAUAUGGCCUUUGAUGAUGUGUACAUCUUCCGUGGACGCUGUAUAGCUUAGACAUUAUUCAAUAUGAUAUAGACUCUUCCUCUCCACUCUUAACUGAUCAAAGUCUGUUUCUAUGCAGUACUUGUAUCUUAGGUUGCGCUUGAGUUUGUGCUAAGAUUCUUUACGUAAAUGUGUUAGAGUUAAAAGGUGUCUUGCGCCAUCAUAUCGUGUACAUUUUCAUCGAAUAUUUUUUUUAUACAAAUGAAUCUUUGUUUCAAUAAAUGAAGAUAC